GGCAUUGUGUACGGUCUCAGCGGGCUCUGAAAUACUGCAGGUUGGGGAGAGGGGAUGAGUUCUCAGGCCACAGCAGACUUCAGCACCUUUCCCCUCUCCGCCACAAAACUCUGCGACCGCUUUGGUGUCAACCCUGAGCUCAUUUUCACCGCCUCCUGCCUCCCACAGUAGCGGCAAGUAACAACGUACAAAUGCGGUACUGAUUUGAUCUAUCUCAUCUUUGUAUCUAUACGUUAUACUUUGAGGAUUUAUGUUUCGGACAGCUUUUUCAUUUGACUCCUUACGUUUGAAAUCAGACAUCUGUCAUUUCUACUCCUUACUUAGGCUCGUUAGUUUGAAGCCAUCUCGGUGGCCGUACACAAAUAUUGACACUUUGGGCACAAUUUGGACAUUUUCAUUUCGGGCUGUACUCCCUUUUGCUGUGAGCGGUUUGGAUAUUAAUGGCUGUGUGUUGAAACAUUUUGAUUGGACAGUACAUUCACACGGUUACACAAGCUGCACUCGGACUACAUUGAAAUGACAUCACAAUCUGUGAACCACGCCGUGCAAUAUCUUGCUGUUUGUAAUUCUGCUCCCUUGAAUGUUAACACAGUUAAAUACCUCCACGACACUUGAAUAGUUGAAUGCCUCUUUAAAAACUUUGGAUAUCCAUCACUUGUUGGCAAAGAGGUGAACCUCGCCCCAUCUUUGCUUGGGAAUGACUGAGCAAUCAUGGCACCCACCAGUUCCCAAUGAGCCUGUUCACCUGUGGGAUGUUCCAAACACGUGUUUGAUGAGCAUUCCUCAACUUUCUCACUUUGUCUUUUUUGCCAGCUUUUUUUGGAACGUGUUGCAGCCAUCAAAUUCCAAGUUAACGAUUAUUUGCUCCAAACAAUCACGUUUAUCAGAUUGCACAUGAAAUAUCUUGUCUUUGUCGUGGAUUUGCAAAUCAUUGCAUUCGGUUUAUUUAUGUUGAACACAACGUCCCAACGUUCAUUGGAAUUGGGGUUGCAGAACGUUCUAUGUGAGCGAUCCCUAAUAACUGCCACAUUAUAUUUUACAACUUCUCUUUGGUUAUUAUCAUUGGCAUGGCGGAGGUCGAGGAGGAAUUUCACAAUGUACAUAAAAUGACACAGAGGACCCGAUCUGGCCGCGAGCCUUGAGUUUGACACCUGUGAGGUAACGUACAGUCCUAAUGUGGUAAACAUGGAUUGAGAACACUUUGGGCCUUAAUUCCCGGCCCCCACGGCGGGGCCUCUUGCUUGUUCUUUUGGGUGGCGUAAUCGGCGCUCACAGCAGCUCCUUAUUGGUGCUCACCGAGUGUUUACCGAUUAAGCUUCUCAAUUUCAGCUGAACAGGCUGACCCAAUUUGGGAAGAGUCAGGAGCUGAGGAAACACAUUGUGUCUCAUAUGCACAAAAUGUGUGCGUGUGUGUGUGUUUAUUAUGAGCACCUGCUUUUACGUAAGGGAAAAUGUUUUCACAACGGGCCUGGUUGCAGUCUGCGGACGUGUGUCGUGUGUGAGCGUCGAAGGUUUAAGGGUAUUGUGUCGCUCUUUUAUUUAUUAGCUUCUUACGUAAGCAUUAGCUGAGGCAGGGGCAAAGGCCACCAAGAUGUCACAGUGCGCAGGGCAAUGAAAUGACUAUUGGAAUAAAUGACAAUUCCCUAAAUGAGCAUAUUUGAUUAGGCUUGAAAUGAAAUCGCUCCGAUGCGAAUGAAGUCGUUUCACUGCUUACAUUUUCAUCCGUGUGUGUUUUCAGAGCUGGAAACGCGCUGUACGGUAUCCCGUUUCGUUUGGCAACAUUUCCUUCUUGAUGACACUCGGCACUCAGGGAGCAGACCGCACAAGGCUUCAAAUGUUCUCCUUGACAGUGAAAGCGGAAAUCUUAAAUGGGAUUUCCCGCGGUAGCAGUUGUUCGGCGGUUUCGAAUGACUGUAACCUCGAUGCUAAUUUCCAUGAGCCGGCGUUUUGCAUGAAGGUCUGUGUAGAUUCUCAGUCAUCCAGGUCACGGUAAUCCGCCAAGGCUGAAUCGAGAGGACUGGACUUUUCUUGUUUGUUGAAUUUCUUUUCUCUUUCGGGAAAAGGGUAAAAAAAAACAAAAAACGACUUGCUCAAUUACGUCUAUCGAUAUUAUUCGCCGUGCCAACGAGAGGCAACUGGCUCGAGUGCUUUGUUCUGAUGGAUGCUAUCAGCAGCUUUUGUUUGGGUUGACAGCACAGACAUAAGCAGCCUCAGUCUUGGUGACAUAAUGUCAGUGUUGCUGACCACCGUCCAAAUGUAUUAUGUAAGCGUGCCACCAUGUGUCUUUAUGUAAGCAGCUGUCAUGUGUGUGUACUAGACACAAAUGACCAUUUGGACUUUUUUUUCUUCUGCUUUUGGUAAGAGCGUUCUCAAAACAUAAACAUAGCAGACCCUGCGUUACCUUGAUCAUUUCAUUACGAUGCGACUCUGGAUCUCGUCCGGCCAUUGGCAGGAUUCGGAUUUUCUGCGUCUUGGAACAACGGUCGGCCAGGGACAAGGUCAUCUUCCUGUGUGUGGCGCUGUCAGUGGAGUGAGGCCUGGCGAGAAAAAUGGACAGUAUAUAUGAAAUGAUGCCAGAAUAAAUCACAGUGAACCCCUGCUAUAUUAUGGUUCAUUGUUCGCACCACCACUAUAUCGGAUUUUUAAGCAAUCGCCUUUUUAACUUUUGAUUUGUUUUUUGUUUUUUUUAGUUCAGGCAAGCCUGAAUUCAGAGUUGCGCACCUUCAAUUACGACCACCGUGCCAAUAUGUGUCAGCUUUACAGUAAACUUCAAAUGGGAGUGAAAAAAAAGCUUGAAGCGAGCAUGCUUUGGCUCUUAUUUGGAGAAUUGUGUGAGUGCGUAUUCUUUUUGUCUGCUCACAGGGAUGCUAUACGAUAGUAUCCCAGUUCUUGAAAGUGAAAACAGGUGCUAAGGAAUACUAAAGGAGUGUGUUUUAAUAAGUUUAAGCAUGGCUUUAUUAGUCUAAAUGUUUUUAUAGGUUGCGGAAGGGGUACAAUGUUUUAUAUGGUCCCUAUAUCGCGGCAGGGUCCGGAUUAUUAUCUUUUACAUGAGCUCAACUUCCCAUAAUUGCCAUUAUGUUGUUUUUAGAUAGCAAACUAGGUCAACGGCACCUAUGCUGGUUUCAGUCAAUUAGUGCACUUUUUUUUGCCUUAAAUUAGACCUAGAGAAUUAAUCAACAAUCACUUUGACUCAAUUCUUAUUCGUCUUUUGUCAGGCACAUGUAACUUUAAAAAAAAAAAAAAGAAGGGAAUUCUAAUCCUGGCUGAUCGGUUGGUUCAACUUUUGCAGCAAAAGUACUCUUAUGCACUGGAAGCUAAGUUAAAAGUUUCAUAAUUAUUACUAAAGACUUUAGCAACCACUUGGUAAAUCACUGCAGUGAUCUGAAUCAAAGCACAGUGCCCCAUUAGAACAAAAGGCGAUGUCCAAUCUGAGUAGAUCAGAGUGUAGGGCUGUUGUGUAUUAAAUCAGCUUUGGAAGGCAUUCUACUAGUCCCAUGUGGUCUGAGAAGACAGAACAUCCAGGUGGACAAGUGGUAGCUAAGAGGAUUACGCAAACCUGGGCAGCUUGCACAAGCUAAUUCAAGGACUUGGAGCACAUUUCUCAAUUAUGCGCGAAUAGAGGUUGCUAUUGUUGCUUGGAAUAAGACUCAGCUUGUGCCUUAUGACAGCAACACACAGCAGAGGACCCCGCAGUAUUCCUUGAGACUUCAUAUCUUAGGCAAAGGUUUCUGCCUCUAACAACGCCUUCAUUGAUUAUUCAUAGACCACAGAAGGGGAUGCAAGUACCUGAACGUGAGCUUGGUUUUGAACACAGCCUGUCCCUGCAGUCCAGUACCCUGGCGGAUAAACAGGUGGUUGUGGUCUCCCUGAAGAGGAGCUUUGUAAACGUCAAACACUUCAUUCCCCAGGUGGAGGGACAUGCUUGUAGCAAAAAGAAGAGCGCAAAAAGCGGAGGGCCUGCCGUUUAGAGAGAAAUCAGACAAAGGAAUGGCUCGAUCUUUAAGACGUACCUCCCAUCGGACCAUUUGACGAUGCGCGCGUUGCUUUCCCGUAUUUCGUUUCCUUCCUCGUCUCGCUUGACUCGCCACCGAAUGGUGUUCUCCACCUGGGAAAGGCAAGGAUUCACAGUCAGUCACAGAUAAGCUGCUUUCACAGCAUCAAGUCCGAUGUAAUAUCAGGGCUCAUUUCAUAUGGGACAGCUUAUGCUUUUACAUCGAAAGGGCCCAAUAGAUGCUCACAAAGGAAAUCAAAUCGGCAGGAUUCACACAACAGGUUCAAGUGCCUAAUUCUGAUUUGUUGCCAAUCUUAAUUUCUACGUUGCAUUUAGUUGACAUGGGCUGACUAAAGUACUUUUUGGGAAGGUGUGCGCCUGUUACACCUUGCCUAAAAAUAACAGCAUUUGAGAACAAAAACAUCAUGGCUAUAGUCAAACACGAUGAUGGCAGUGUGGGGCUGGGGCUGCUUGUUAUUUCAGGGCCUGGAUGACUUUCUGUGAUGAAUGCAGCAAUGAUUUCAGAUGUCUACCAGAAAAUCCUGCAGGCAACCAUCCCGUCAUCAGUUUGGACCUCCAAGCUCAAGCGCUCUUGGUUUAUACAACAGGAUAAUACAAAACAUACCAGCAAGUCCACAUCUGAAGUGUUCAAAUAAACCAAAAUCAAGGUUCAUGAGUGGUCAAAUCAAAGUUUAAUCCCAAUGCGAUGCCGUGGUUUGACAUUUAACGCAGUUCACGCUCGGAAAGCAUCCAAUUUGACCGAGCUAAAACUAUUCUAUAAAGAAGAGUGGGCCAAAAUUCCUCCACGGCGAUGCAAAAGACUCUUCAGCAGUUAUCGCAACAGCUGGAUUUAACUUUUACUGCCGAGAGUGGCACAACCACUUACUAGGUUCAGGAGGCAAUUACUUUCUCAAUAGUGUCAUACAGGUUGGAUGGUUUGUUCUCUCUUUACAAACUGCAUUUUAUAUUUACUGUUGUCUUUGUGAGAUAUUAAAAUUUGCGGUGACGAUGUGACACAUUUAAGUGUGAUAAAUAUAAGAAAAAUAAGAAAUGACAAAUGGGGCAAAUACCCAGACAUUCAGCUAUAAUGGUAGACACACCUUCAGUUUGAGCCUGGUGCGUCCUUCUUCAUCCAGCAUUUCCUCGUCUUCAAAUUCAUCCUCAUAGUACUGUGGGUCAAAAGGUCUGCGAAGGGGAAAUUCAAUUGAAGUCAGCUUAAACAUUCACGUUAUAUUAAAAGAUAUCUGAAUUCACAUGCAUUUAUAAAGUUUAAUUGGCUCUGACCUGGGCUCUACGGAGAGGAAGUUGGGCAGCUUAACAAAGUAAAGAUCAGAGCCAAGGUCAGUGCUGACUUUGGGUAUCUCUACUUCGAUACGAGUCUCAGGCACAGGCUCCUCCUCUGCCUGUUCCCCUUCCAGGCCAUCUUCUGUAUCCUAAAGAGAACAGCUCAUCAAACUCUGCAAGCUUCAACGAGCCAUGAUAAAAAGCAGGAUUAGCGACAAGAGUCUUAGCGAAAGGCUCUGAGGGAAACACAGUUUGGUAAUUCUCAUUAAAAACGAAGGAGAUCGUAAUGCAAAAGUGCAGGUAGAUACCAUGGGCUGUCCCGGGGUCGGCGGCUUUUCUGCGUCACUGUCAGAAGAGAUGUCAUCAGCCUCGCCGAACAGAUCAUCCGCCGCAGACUUCUUGUCUGCGUGGUAGCACAGAAGAAAUGACCUUUUAAACUCUAAAAGGGAAAAAAAAGAGCUGUGAAAUGUGGACACUCAUCAGGGCCUCUUACUAUCAUUUGCACCCAUGUCGCUGUCAGAAUCGGAGUCUGAAGCGGCUUUUGCUUUGCUUCUCCUAUGGAUGAAAUCAUCUUCGCUAUCGCUUCCCUUUGCAGAUUCUGGAAAAUACAAAACAGUAAAUUAAAGCAAGAAACAGUGGGAUCAGUUCAUCUACUGUGUUUGCGUGACUUUUUGUAACACGUAUUGUGCACACGUUUCAUUCGCGCUAUGAUCCAUCGCUUGGUCGCUUUCUUGCGAUUUCAAUUACUAGCGAGCUUCGACUUGAGUGAAGUGGGGGAAAGAAAAGGUGUGUGACAGUCGCCAAUGCACUUUCAGAUGUUUAUUGAAAAGGGACAAACAGGCAAAAAGACAAAUACAAAAUGAAAACACUCGCAAGGAACAUGGGGCACAAGCAAAAUCUGCACUAACCCCGUAGUAAAAUCGCCAGCUGGCGCUGGAGUCAGAACUAGGCCACGUCCUUUAAAGGCACACGUCAACGUGUGUGUGUGUGUGUGUGACUUUCAGCUUUUUUUUAGACCUAUCAAAAUUAAACAGUUUAUUAUUUAUAUUCUCUUAUGUUUUUAUAUUUAUACUUUACAAUACUGACUAGCCGUGGCAACUCCUGAUAGGACAAGCCUAAAGUCACAACAACAACCGCAAUACUCAGUUUAUUGAUAACGUAGCAAAAAAAUUUUAAAAAAAUGGUGGUGUUUUUGUGGGGGGAUCGAACAGUUUAACAGCACUUCAAUUCCAUUAAAUCAGCUCUACAAGUAAAUUGAAUGAUUAUGUAUAUAUUACACAAGCCAGCUGAGCAACUGUGUUCACUGCUUGCCAUCACCAGUAAAAACUCAUCACAAUACUGUAGCAAGAGUUUAGAGUUUUAUUUAUCGGACUGCUAUGCUUGCAAUCAAAUUUAUAUUAAAAAAAAAUAAUAAUAAUAUUUUUUAUUUUAUUUUUUUUAAUUUCAAAUUGUUAUCCUUAUCUUGUUUGCUGUCUCUAUCGCAACUUUACAAUAAAUGAUCUUGUCAUUCAGACUAAUUGGGAAAUGAAAAUCAUUCAAUAUUUUUUGAUGGCUAUGGUCUCCAGCUAUUUCUUGGGAGUCUUGAUUAUAUAUAAUUCUAUCUAUUCUUCUACAUAUACAAAUUGUUUUGCAUCUACAUACGGUAUCUGUUGUAGUUUUGGUCUUUCCUUGAAGAAACACUCGCCCACCAAUGACAGAGCAUUAUGAGUACCAACCUGACUUUCUGUUCCUGGGCCCUUCAUCGUCAGAGUUCUCCCUGUCUUCAUCCGAGUAUUGCCGUUUCUCCUCUUCGUCCUCUGAUUGGUCACUCUUAGCCCCGCCUUCCCACUUCUCGUCAUCUGAAUGGUUCACUCGGCCUGACCCUUCUCCAUCAGAGUGAGGGGUGCCCACACCCGACCGCGGGGUUCCAAGGUCACUGUGAACACUUGAUGCAAAAAAAAAUAAUAAAAUAUAUUUGUUUUCUUUUUUUACACAAUAUACCCACAUCAUUGGGUACACCAGCAAAAUAAAAGAGAUUUAGCUUUUACAAUUAUCAUAAUGCCUGUCAAAAAGGUAGAAAAUCACUAAUUGCUAUUUCUGUCACGGUGAUUUUAGUUUGUUUGCAGGUAGGAAGGUGAUGAAAACAUUUGUCAAUUAAAACACAACACGAGUAUUUAUGUAAAGGCAGAACAUCUCAUGAGAGUCCAUAAGCUACUGACCUUCUGUCAGAGCGGACUCUGCCCCUCUCAGAGUGAGGACUUCCCCCUCCAGACAUCCCACUGCCUGCCGGGCUUCCACCAUCUGACCGCCGGCCUCCAUCUUCCUCGUCCUCUUCGUCAUCGUCUCGACGGCCGCACUCCGAGCCGCUGUGCUGCUCUGCGUCGGAGUGUUCGUUCUCAGCCUGAUCCGAGUGCACGCUGGCGUCCGACGGAUUGCCCGACCGCUCAGACUGGUUAUCGCUGUGUCCGCUGCCGCUGUGUUGACUGUGCUCCUCUUCCUCGCUGUCGUCCCCGAACAGUU